rnacentral:rRNA from 1 species
UACGGAGGGUGCAAGCGUUAUCCGGAUUCACUGGGUUUAAAGGGUGCGUAGGUGGGUAAGUAAGUCCGUGGUGAAAUCUCUGAGCUUAACUCAGAAACUGCCGUGGAUACUAUUUAUCUUGAAUAUUGUGGAGGUGAGCGGAAUAUGUGCAUGUAGCGGUGAAAUGCUUAGAUAUGACAUAGAACACCAAAUUGCGAAGGCAGCUCACUACACAAUUAUUGACGCUGAGGCACGAAAGCGUGGGGAUCGAACGG